rnacentral:rRNA from 1 species
CAGCAGCCGCGGGAAUACCGAGGGUGCGAGCGUUAAUCGGAUUUACUGGGCGUAAAGCGUGCGUAGGCGGCUUUUUAAGUCGGAUGUGAAAUCCCUGAGCUUAACUUAGGAAUUGCAUUCGAUACUGGGAAGCUAGAGUAUGGGAGAGGAUGGUAGAAUUCCAGGUGUAGCGGUGAAAUGCGUAGAGAUCUGGAGGAAUACCGAUGGCGAAGGCAGCCAUCUGGCCUAAUACUGACGCUGAGGUACGAAAGCAUUGGGAGCAAACAGGAUUAGAUACCCCCGUAGUCCCUGUCUCUUAUAC